CCUGGCUCAGAUUGAACGCUGGCGGCAUGCCUAACACAUGCAAGUCGAACGCGAAAGUCCUUCGGGAUGAGUAGAGUGGCGGACGGGUGAGUAAUGCGUGGGAAUCUGCCUUGCAGUGGGGGACAACCCGGGGAAACUCGGGCUAAUACCGCAUACGUCCUACGGGGGCCGAGAGGUGAAAUAUUACAUAGCCUGUAGAUGAGCUCGCGUCUGAUUAGCUAGUUGGUGAGGUAAGGGCUUACCAAGGCGACGAUCAGUAGCUGGUCUGAGAGGAUGAUCAGCCACACUGGGACUGAGACACGGCCCAGACUCCUACGGGAGGCAGCAGUGGGGAAUUUUCCGCAAUGGGCGAAAGCCUGACGGAGCAACGCCGCGUGCGGGAGGAAGGCCUUAGGGUUGUAAACCGCUUUUCUCAAGGAAGAAGUCAGUGACGGUACUUGAGGAAUCAGCCUCGGCUAACUUCGUGCCAGCAGCCGCGGUAAUACGAAGGAGGCAAGCGUUAUCCGGAAUUAUUGGGCGUAAAGCGUCCGCAGGCGGUUAGGCAAGUCUGUCGUUAAAGCGUGAGGCUCAACCUCAUACCGGCGAUGGAAACUGUUUAACUAGAGUGCAGUAGGGGUAGCGGGAACUCCCGGUGUAGCGGUGAAAUGCGUAGAUAUCGGGAAGAACACCAGAGGCGAAGGCGCGCUACUGGGCUGUAACUGACGCUCAUGGACGAAAGCUAGGGGAGCGAAAGGGAUUAGAUACCCCUGUAGUCCUAGCUGUAAACGAUGGACACUAGGUGUUGCGCGAAUCGACCCGUGCAGUGCCGUAGCUAACGCGUUAAGUGUCCCGCCUGGGGAGUACGCACGCAAGUGUGAAACUCAAAGGAAUUGACGGGGGCCCGCACAAGCGGUGGAGUAUGUGGUUUAAUUCGAUGCAACGCGAAGAACCUUACCAGGGCUUGACAUCCUGCGAAUCUUGGUGAAAGUCAAGAGUGCCUUCGGGAGCCAGAGACAGGUGGUGCAUGGCUGUCGUCAGCUCGUGUCGUGAGAUGUUGGGUUAAGUCCCGCAACGAGCGCAACCCACGUUCUCAGUUGCCAGCAUUCAGUUGGGCACUUUGGGGAGACUGCCGGUGACAAACCGGAGGAAGGUGUGGACGACGUCAAGUCAUCAUGCCCCUUACGUCCUGGGCUACACACGUACUACAAUGCUGCGGACAGAGGGACGCGAAGCCGCGAGGUGAAGCAAAUCCCAGAAACCGUGGCACAGUUCAGAUUGCAGGCUGCAACUCGCCUGCAUGAAGUCGGAAUCGCUAGUAAUCGCAGGUCAGCAUACUGCGGUGAAUACGUUCCCGGGCCUUGUACACACCGCCCGUCACACCAUGGGAGUUGGCCAUGCCCGAAGUCGUUACUCUAACCGUUCGCGGAGGGGGGCGCCGAAGGCGGGGCUGAUGACUGGGGUGAAGUCGUAACAAGGUA
rnacentral:rRNA from 1 species